UACAGAGGUCCCAAGCGUUGUUCGGGUUCACUGGGCGUAAAGGGUGCGCAGGUGGGUUUGCAAGUUCGAUGUGAAAGCCCCGGGCUUAACCCGGGAAUGGCAUUGGGUACUGCAGAUCUGGAGGAUCGGAGGGGGGACUGGAAUUCUUGGUGUAGCAGUGAAAUGCGUAGAUAUUGGGAGGAACACCAGUGGCGAAGGCGGCUCACUGGACCGGAACUGACGCUGAGGCGCGAAAGCGUGGGGAGCAAACGGG
rnacentral:rRNA from 1 species